rnacentral:rRNA from 1 species
ACUCCUACGGGAGGCAGCAGUGGGGAAUAUUGCACAAUGGGGGAAACCCUGAUGCAGCCAUGCCGCGUGUGUGAAGAAGGCCUUGGGUUGUAAAGCACUUUCAGUAGGGAGGAAGGUAGUGUAGUUAACACCUGCAUUAUUUGUACGUUACCUACAGAAGAAGCACCGGCUAACUCCGUGCCAGCAGCCGCGGUAAGUACGGAGGGUGCGAGCGUUAAUCGGAAUUACGUGGGCGUAAAGCGCAUGCAGGCGGCCUGUUAAGUCAGAUGUGAAACGCCCGGGGUCUUAACCUCGGAAUUGCAUUUGAAACUGGCAGGCUAGAGUCUUGUAGAGGGGGUUAGAAUUUCAGGUGUAGCGGUGAAAUGCGUAGAGAUCUGAAGGAAUACCGAGU